rnacentral:ncRNA from 2 species
UAGAUUUGCUGGGGGAGCUGAACCGGCUGAGAGAUCCUGUGUCCGAUGAUCGGGACGACCCCUCGAACCUGUUGGAUAAUACCAGCGGAGGGAAGCAAAUCCAAAAAUGG